rnacentral:rRNA from 1 species
AGAACGAACGCUGGCGGCAUGCCUAAUACAUGCAAGUCGAACGAACUCUUUGGAGUUAGUGGCGCACGGGUGCGUAACGCGUGGGAAUCUGCCCCUUGGUUCGGAAUAACAGUUGGAAACGACUGCUAAUACCGGAUGAUGACGAAAGUCCAAAGAUUUAUCGCCAAGGGAUGAGCCCGCGUAGGAUUAGCUAGUUGGUGAGGUAAAGGCUCACCAAGGCAACGAUCCUUAGCUGGUCUGAGAGGAUGAUCAGUCACACCGGAACUGAGACACGGUCCGGACUCCUACGGGAGCAGCA